rnacentral:rRNA from 1 species
UUUCCUACGGGAGGCAGCAGUGGGGAAUAUUGCACAAUGGGGGAAACCCUGAUGCAGCGACGCCGCGUGGGUGACGAAGUAUUUCGGUAUGUAAAGCCCUAUCAGCAGGGAAGAAGAUGACAGUACCUGACCAAGAAGCCCCGGCUAACUACGUGCCAGCAGCCGCGGUAAUACGUAGGGGGGAAGCGUUAUCCGGAUUUACUGGGUGUAAAGGGAGCGUAGACGGCAGGGCAAGUCUGGAGUGAAAGCCCGGGGCCCAACCCCGGGACUGCUUUGGAAACUGCCAUGCUGGAGUGCUGGAGAGG